rnacentral:lncRNA from 1 species
AAUUUUAAUUUUGAUAAGUUAAUUUUGUGGGUAGCUGAUGUAGUCGGUUCUUUUUAAGGCUAAAAGCCUAUUGGAGAAUUAGGUUAACAAAGGGUGAAGGUGAAGAUCAUUACAGGUUUCAGUGUUGGCUGAGAUGGGUUGCUGAGGUUGUGUAACUGUGUCUAGAGGGGCGGGGUUCCUGUACAUUCCUACUUCAGCAGAUAACCUGUCCCCGGCCAUACUCCAGCUUCUCCCAGACAGAUGGAAAUCUCCAGAGGAAAAUCUGCACAGUCCUUCUAAGAAGCUGGGUUCUGCUCGAUGGAUGUUAUCGGAAGGCUGCGGAGGACUUGAGAACUGUGAACACUCUCACCAGGAGAUCGAGCCUUACUCCUCCUUGGUAUAAGGAAGGCUGGCAUGACCAUCCACUUCACAUCCACCAGUGUGCUGACACCAAGCAGAAAAUUCCAAGUAGAGAGCAGACUCCGUGUAGUCAGACGUUCCUGGAGAAAAUUGCUUCGUCAUUCUUCAGAAUGAAAAAAAAAGUAGAUUCCCUUCAGAAUCCUCUAGUCUUAGAAUGACUAGGUAGAAUUUUAUGUUUAUUUAGAUCUCUUCCAUGUCUAAAUCUUUGGUCAUCUUCCUAUCUUCUAGUUCCAUAAAUAAAAGUAAAAUGUUACUAAAUGAAUACAAUUAUUUUGGUCUCAGUGAAUCAGUUGAGGCUUGGCUGAACCAGCCCAAGUUUGGGGAGCUGCAUGGGACUAUAAUUUACCAUAUCAUUGCAUUUGCUACCUCCUGAUGAUGUGGGUUUUAUGUGUGGGCCAAAACUUCUCUCCAGUUUUGUCUAAUUGGAAAAGAGAAUAAAGAUGUUGUUUCGAUGGGCUUUGAUCUUAUAG